rnacentral:rRNA from 1 species
AUUGAACGCUGGCGGCAGGCCUAACACAUGCAAGUCGAGCGGAUGAAGGGAGCUUGCUCCUGGAUUCAGCGGCGGACGGGUGAGUAAUGCCUAGGAAUCUGCCUGGUAGUGGGGGAUAACGUCCGGAAACGGGCGCUAAUACCGCAUACGUCGUGUGGGAGAAAGUGGGGGAUCUUCGGACCUCACGCUAUCAGAUGAGCCUAGGUCGGUUUAGCUAGUAGGGGGGGUAAAUGCCUACAGAGGCGGCGAUCCGUAACUGGUCUGAGAGGAUGGCCAGUCACCCUGGAACUGAGACACGGUCCAGACUCCUACAGGAGGCAGCAGUGGGGAAUAUUGGACAAUGGGCGAGAGCCUGAUCCAGCCAUGCCGCGUGUGUGAAGAAGGUCUUCGGAUUGUAAAGCACUUUAAGUUGGGGGGUAGGGCAGUAAGUUAAUACCUUGCUGUUUUGACGUUACCAACAGAAUAAGCUCCGGCUAACUUCGUG